CAUUCCAAAGUUUCUCUUUAUUCUUCUUCUUCUUCUACUUCUAUUCUACAUUGUUCUUUUCUUUCGUACUCUAUCGUGCUCUAUUUAAUACAGAACUGCUACAGGAUAUUUUAACUACCCUCUCUCUCCUUCUACCCUUAAGACCGUUCGAAAAUCGACGAAAAGUCUCCUCUCUCUCUCUCUCUCUCUCUCCCUCUCUCUCUCUCUCUCCCUCUCUCUCUUUCUCUCCCUCUCUCUCUCUCUUUUUUUCUGUUUCUCUUCAAGAGAGGAAAGGGUUCUUUUUUUUAGUUCUUUGAUCUUCUGUGAAGCCUUUUUGUCGUUGAAAUUAAUGAAAAUGAAGAGAAACGGGAAAAUAAAGUGCAGUUUUUUGUAUGAUCUCUCUUUUGUUUCCUAGAGGGAACAUGUGUGUGUGUGUUUUUUUUCUGACUAUGAUAUGGUGUAUAUGUGAUGAUAACACCUUUUUAUUUUACUAAUACAAAAAUGUCAUGCGACCAUGAAAUAUUUUACUUUUAUCCUAAGUAUAAAAUAUAAAAUAAAUCUCGAACUAUUACCAAGGUCGUGAAAAACGAAAAUGCAACACGUACACAAUAGUUUUACAAUAUCUUCGAUUGAUGACCGUGAAAAAUCGAUACCCCGUUGUUACGUAUGUUUUCCAUUCAGAAAAGUAACCUUGAAAACUAUUCAUCCAACACAGUUUUACGUAAAUUUAUGAAAGCCAUCAAUUUAUUAAGAAAAAUAAAAGAAAAAAAAAGGGGUUUCUCUUUUUCUCUUUUUUCAUUUGAUCAAUGCCAACCAGGAAAGGAGAAGAUGAAACGAAAAAGAGUAAAAAGGAAAAAUAACGUAUGUUGUAAGUCGAUGAUACAAAAGAAGAAAAAUAAGAGGAAGAAAAUCAACUCGAUUCGAAAUUGUUAACAAAAGAGUUUUUCCAAUGUUCAUCCGGUUAAACGGAAUUUCAAGGAUAUUUCACGAAGUCCCAGAUAAAUAUUUGUCAUGGUAGAGAAAAGGCGAAUGGCAAAAAAGCAAAGAUUGGAAAAGUGAAAAGGAAAAAAAAGUUGAAAAGGUUAGGGGUAUCGGAGUUUACCUGGUUAACCCCCAUCGAACCAACUCAACUGAUCGUUUUCAAAGUUGAAACUUCGCGUAAAGCAAUAACAAGAGGACCAUAGCAUCGUGUUCAUAUCCGGGAGAAAAAAGGAAACCACUGACCUUGCUUGUAGAAUGAUGUUCAAGGAAAACGUUUCAACCUUUUACGAGGAUCGUUUGAACAAGAAAGAUCGGUAGGAAAGAGUGACGUUUCUUGGUUGAGAAGAUAAGAUCGAGAUGAAAAAAGGAGGAAGGUGUAAAGACGUGGGAUAAGAUCGUAGAAAGCCGGCAGAUGUCAAGGAUGUCCUUGACAGAAGGAAUAAGGAAGAAUCCGAAGGAAAGGAAAAUAGGAAGGAAGAAGAGUAGUAGUGUGUUUCGAUGAUGACUUACGCUAACACGAAUGAAUGUGGACUGCUGACAAACCUAGGAAGGUUGUGAACUGUCACUUCACAGGAUUCGGACGACACGAAAAAGAAAGAAAGAAAUGAAAGAAUGAAAGAAAGAAAGCGUCGAAAGCUCUUCAGAAAAAGCUUCGUCGCGAUGAACUUUUUUCGUUAAAUCUUGCGCCUAUUUAUCUCUUUUUUUUUGUCAAAUAAAUAU
rnacentral:lncRNA from 1 species